GGUUAAGCGACUAAGCGUACACGGUGGAUGCCCUGGCAGUCAGAGGCGAUGAAGGGCGUGCUAAUCUGCGAUAAGCGCCGGUAAGGUGAUAUGAACCGUUAUAACCGGCGAUACCCGAAUGGGGAAACCCAGUGUGACUCGUCACACUAUCAUUAACUGAAUCCAUAGGUUAAUGAGGCGAACCGGGGGAACUGAAACAUCUAAGUACCCCGAGGAAAAGAAAUCAACCGAGAUUCCCCCAGUAGCGGCGAGCGAACGGGGAGGAGCCCAGAGCCUGAAUCAGCAUGUGUGUUAGUGGAAGCGUCUGGAAAGACGCGCGAUACAGGGUGACAGCCCCGUACACAAAAGCGUAUGUGCUGUGAGCUCGAUGAGUAGGGCGGGACACGUGGUAUCCUGUCUGAAUAUGGGGGGACCAUCCUCCAAGGCUAAAUACUCCUGACUGACCGAUAGUGAACCAGUACCGUGAGGGAAAGGCGAAAAGAACCCCGGCGAGGGGAGUGAAAAAGAACCUGAAACCGUGUACGUACAAGCAGUGGGAGCACAGGUUUACCUGUGUGACUGCGUACCUUUUGUAUAAUGGGUCAGCGACUUAUAUUCUGUAGCAAGGUUAACCGAAUAGGGGAGCCGGAGGGAAACCGAGUCUUAAUUGGGCGUUAAGUUGCAGGGUAUAGACCCGAAACCCGGUGAUCUAGCCAUGGGCAGGUUGAAGGUUGGGUAACACUAACUGGAGGACCGAACCGACUAAUGUUGAAAAAUUAGCGGAUGACCUGUGGCUGGGGGUGAAAGGCCAAUCAAA
rnacentral:rRNA from 1 species